rnacentral:rRNA from 1 species
CUCGUAGGCGGCCAACUAAGUCAGACGUGAAAUCCCUCGGCUUAACCGGGGAACUGCAUCUGAUACUGGAUGGCUCGAGAUUGGGAGAGGGAUGCGGAAUUCCAGGUGUAGCGGUGAAAUGCGUAGAUAUCUGGAGGAACACCGGUGGCGAAGGCGGCAUCCUGGACCAACACUGACGCUGAUGAGCGAAAGCCAGGGGAGCAAACG